GAUGAACGCUGGCGGCGUGCCUAAUACAUGCAAGUAGAACGCUGAAGCUUGGUGCUUGCACCGAGCGGAUGAGUUGCGAACGGGUGAGUAACGCGUAGGUAACCUGCCUCUUAGCGGGGGAUAACUAUUGGAAACGAUAGCUAAUACCGCAUAAAAGUCGACAUUGCAUGAUGUUGACUUGAAAGGUGCAAUUGCAUCACUAAGAGAUGGACCUGCGUUGUAUUAGCUAGUUGGUGAGGUAACGGCUCACCAAGGCGACGAUACAUAGCCGACCUGAGAGGGUGAUCGGCCACACUGGGACUGAGACACGGCCCAGACUCCUACGGGAGGCAGCAGUAGGGAAUCUUCGGCAAUGGGGGCAACCCUGACCGAGCAACGCCGCGUGAGUGAAGAAGGUUUUCGGAUCGUAAAGCUCUGUUGUAAGAGAAGAACGAGUGUGAGAGUGGAAAGUUCACACUGUGACGGUAGCUUACCAGAAAGGGACGGCUAACUACGUGCCAGCAGCCGCGGUAAUACGUAGGUCCCGAGCGUUGUCCGGAUUUAUUGGGCGUAAAGCGAGCGCAGGCGGUUUGAUAAGUCUGAAGUUAAAGGCUGUGGCUCAACCAUAGUUCGCUUUGGAAACUGUCAAACUUGAGUGCAGAAGGGGAGAGUGGAAUUCCAUGUGUAGCGGUGAAAUGCGUAGAUAUAUGGAGGAACACCGGUGGCGAAAGCGGCUCUCUGGUCUGUAACUGACGCUGAGGCUCGAAAGCGUGGGGAGCGAACAGG
rnacentral:rRNA from 1 species